rnacentral:rRNA from 1 species
UACAUGUGGGGCAAGCGUUGUUCGGAAUUACUGGGCAUAAAGGGUGCGUAGGCGGCUUGUUAAGUCAGGGGUGAAAGUUUUCGGCCCAACCGGAAAAUUGCCUUUGAUACUGGCGAGCUGGAAUGCGUGAGGGGUGACCGGAACGAGUGGUGUAGCGGUGAAAUGCUUAGAUAUUACAUGGAAUACCAAUUGCGAAGGCAGGUUACUACUAAUGGAUUGACGCUGAUGGACGAAAGCGUGGGUAGCGAACAGG